rnacentral:rRNA from 1 species
CACGUAGGCGGUGAAUCGGGUUGAAAGUGAAAGUCGCCAAAAAAGUGGCGGAAUGCUCUCGAAACCAAUUCACUUGAGUGAGACAGAGGAGAGUGGAAUUUCGUGUGUAGGGGUGAAACCCGUAGAUCUACGAAGGAACGCCAAAAGCGAAGGCAGCUCUCUGGGUCCCUACCGACGCUGGGUGCGAAAGCAUGGGGAGCGAACA